CCUACGGGAGGCAGCAGUGGGGAAUAUUGGACAAUGGGCGAAAGCCUGAUCCAGCCAUGCCGCGUGUGUGAAGAAGGCCUUCGGGUUGUAAAGCACUUUCAGUGGGGAAGAAAGCCUUGGGGCUAAUACCCUCGAGGAAGGACAUCACCCACAGAAGAAGCACCGGCUAACUCCGUGCCAGCAGCCGCGGUAAUACGGAGGGUGCGAGCGUUAAUCGGAAUUACUGGGCGUAAAGCGCGCGUAGGCGGUCUGAUAAGCCGGUUGUGAAAGCCCCGGGCUCAACCUGGGAACGGCAUCCGGAACUGUCAGGCUAGAGUGCAGGAGAGGACGGUAGAAUUCCCGGUGUAGCGGUGAAAUGCGUAGAGAUCGGGAGGAAUACCAGUGGCGAAGGCGGCCUUCUGGACUGACACUGACGCUGAGGUGCGAAAGCGUGGGUAGCAAACAGGAUUAGAUACCCGAGUAGUC
rnacentral:rRNA from 1 species